AUUGAACGCUGGCGGCAUGCCUUACACAUGCAAGUCGAACGGUAACGGGCCUUCGGGUGCCGACGAGUGGCGAACGGGUGAGUAAUACAUCGGAACGUGCCCGAUCGUGGGGGAUAACGAGGCGAAAGCUUUGCUAAUACCGCAUACGAUCUACGGAUGAAAGCAGGGGACCGCAAGGCCUUGCGCGGACGGAGCGGCCGAUGGCAGAUUAGGUAGUUGGUGGGAUAAAAGCUUACCAAGCCGACGAUCUGUAGCAGGUCUGAGAGGAUGAUCAGCCACACUGGGACUGAGACACGGCCCAGACUCCUACGGGAGGCAGCAGUGGGGAAUUUUGGACAAUGGGCGCAAGCCUGAUCCAGCCAUGCCGCGUGCAGGAUGAAGGCCUUCGGGUUGUAAACUGCUUUUGUACGGAACGAAAAGCCUUCUUUUAAUACAGGAGGGUCAUGACGGUACCGUAAGAAUAAGCACCGGCUAACUACGUG
rnacentral:rRNA from 1 species